rnacentral:rRNA from 1 species
UGGGGAAUAUUGGACAAUGGGCGCAAGCCUGAUCCAGCAAUGCCGCGUGUGUGAAGAAGGCCUUCGGGUUGUAAAGCACUUUUAUCAGGAGCGAAACGCUGUCGGCUAAUACCCGGCGGAACUGACGGUACCUGAGGAAUAAGCACCGGCUAACUUCGUGCCAGCAGCCGCGGUAAUACGAAGGGUGCAAGCGUUAAUCGGAAUUACUGGGCGUAAAGCGUGCGUAGGCGGUUUCUUAAGUCUGCUGUGAAAUCCCCGGGCUCAACCUGGGAAUGGCAGUGGAUAACUGGGAGGCUAGAGUGUGUCAGAGGGUGGUGGAAUUCCCGGUGUAGCGGUGAAAUGCGUAGAGAUCGGGAGGAACAUCAGUGGCGAAGGCGGCCACCUGGGACAACACUGACGCUGAGGCACGAAAGCGUGGGGAGCAAACAGGAUUAGAUACCCUGGUAGUCCACGCCCUAAACGAUGCGAACUGGAUGUUGUCUCAACUCGGAGAUCAGUGUCGAAGCUAACGCGUUAAGUUCGCCGCCUGGGGAGUACGGUCGCAAGACUGGAAACUC